rnacentral:lncRNA from 1 species
GUAACCCUUCCCCAUUUUGAGCAAAAAAUAAAUGUGAAUGGGUCCUUCGCUGUACCCUUUUUUAGAGUAGGUCCCUUUCACAGGAAGGGAAAUUGUUAGGCAGUUAAGAUUAUAAACAGAUAACCUCUGCUUAUAGACCACUUUGAAUGUUUGGGGGGAAGAAGUUGUCAUUUGCUUUAACUGACCCACUUUAUAUCAAGGAACCAACACUAAAAUCCUUGUAUUAGCCAGUAUUGAUAAAUUAAGCCUUCACUUUUAUGGAUGUUCCUACCUGUGCCAUUAGCUGUUUCUAAUCAAAUGCCUAAGAGCUUUGCCUGAAUUGAGGACUUGGAGGAUGUUUUUUAAGGGUGAGUUUUUGAUGGUAAAAUUCUUCAAGUUGG